rnacentral:rRNA from 1 species
AGCAGUGGGGAAUUUUGGACAAAGGGCGCAAGCCUGAUCCAGCAAUGCCGCGUGCAGGAAGAAGGCCUUCGGGUUGUAAACUGCUUUUGUCAGGGAAGAAAUCCUCUGGGUUAAUACCUCGGGGGGAUGACGGUACCUGAAGAAUAAGCACCGGCUAACUACGUGCCAGCAGCCGCGGUAAUACGUAGGGUGCGAGCGUUAAUCGGAAUUACUGGGCGUAAAGCGUGCGCAGGCGGUUGUGCAAGACAGGUGUGAAAUCCCCGGGCUUAACCUGGGAACUGCACUUGUGACUGCACGGCUAGAGUACGGUAGAGGGGGAUGGAAUUCCGCGUGUAGCAGUGAAAUGCGUAGAUAUGCGGAGGAACACCGAUGGCGAAGGCAAUCCCCUGGACCUGUACUGACGCUCAUGCACGAAAGCGUGGGGAGCAAACAGGAUUAGAUACCCUGGUAGUCCACGCCCUAAACGAUGUCAACUGGUUGUUGGACGGCUUGCUGUUCAGUAACGAAGCUAAC